UGGGCUCGAACGGCUUCGGACAAACUGUGGAAACACGGUCUUCCCGCAAGGGACUGGAGUCGAGGUGCUGCAUGGCUGUCGUCAGCUCGUGUCGUGAGAUGUUGGGUUAAGUCCCGCAACGAGCGCAACCCUUGUCCUGUGUUGGCAUGCCGUAAGGCGCAACUCUCAGGAGACCGCCAGCGAUAAGCUGGAGGAAGGUGGGGAUGACGUGUCCUUGAUAGG
rnacentral:misc_RNA from 1 species